CCGAGUUUACAACUCCCAAACCCAAUGUGAACCAUACCAAACUGUUGCCUCGGCGGGGUCACGCCCCGGGUGCGUCGCAGCCCCGGAACCAGGCGCCCGCCGGAGGGACCAACCAAACUCUUUCUGUAGUCCCCUCGCGGACGUUAUUUCUUACAGCUCUGAGCAAAAAUUCAAAAUGAAUC
rnacentral:misc_RNA from 1 species